AAGUUUCACUGAGUUAACGCGGCUAUGGAUGAAUGUAAAAUAUUAGUCUUUUUGCCCCCCAGCGUUGUGCGCAUGCGGGAAAUUUCCGUAGGUCCAACAAGAUGGAUGGUGUCUAAGCCAUAAGUCAGUGGCCUCACCAGCAAUGAACCUCACCACACGUCACUGUUUAAAACAAUAUAUAAGUGGCAAACUGUGUCCAAACACUUUGCAUUGCAAACUACAUUUUCAUGUUGACUUCUAUGUCUGCACAUGGACAGCCACACUAAACUUACAGAGGUUGAUAUCUUUGUCUUUAACAGUGACUGUAAAAGCAAAGAACAUGGGGAACCUAAACCUUUAAUGUAUUGGAUUCACUCCAUGCUGUUGUCUUAUCUUUAUUGCAAUCUAAUGUAAAACAGUCCUGGUGGUUUGUGUCCUGAAUAAUCUACAAUAUGGCUGGACUUCUGUCACCUGGCUGCUCUUGUUGCUCAUGUUUGUUAUUUUUGUCAGUUUAGUUGCUGGGCUGGAAAGAAUUUUCUUGAACCAUUCUUGACAGAGUGGGAGGAAUGUGUAUGGAAGUUCAGUGGCAGUUGUGUUUUUCUCUCCAAAUCCAGAAUAAACCCAGCAAGUACAAAUGAGCAAGUUAUGAAUAGUUCUUAUCUCACUUUCUGGGUAAAUAUCUCUGGUUUGACUUGAACCACAGUUGAUGAAUAGAUUGUGUAAAUGGAUGUGAACUUGCUUUCAAUGAAAGCCAUUACAGCCAUUAGGAGCUUAAAUAGGGCCUACUGUAAACUGUAGUUUCUUUUAUUUGGACUACUACAUUCCAGGAAAGUUAACAUCUGGAUUUAAACAUACAUCUUCAGAUGUCCAUUGGUUUCAUUAGCACUGUUGUGAAAUGUUAGAAACAUUUUUGUACUUUUUGACUGGUACCUUUGUUUUCUUAUUAGUCCACAAGGCUCGAGGCUAGUCUGGCACUGGUGGCACUGGUGGCACUGGUGCACCAGCAUAAAAGUGCACCCAAAUUCUCAACAUCACAUGAUAGUUUUACAAGAUAAUUUUUUUAAUCACUAUUCAUAAAGAUGAUGUUGACUUGUAAAUGUUUAUUUACCAUCUAAUAAACAUAAAGUUCUUCAUUUGAAGCUGAAAUGUACAAGACAUGUAACUAAGCCUUUGAAGCUGCAAUACGUAAUUUAAAACAACCAAAAAACAUUUUUUUAAUAUAUAUUCCUGAAAAUUUUAACUAUGUUUUGACAGUAUAUGAUGGAACAGAUAAUCUGUGAAAACAUGGAACUCCUUUGCCCCCUCCCUGUAGUCCUACUGCCAUUUGCUGAAAUACACAGACAGCAGAUCAGAGACAGGAGGAGGGUUUUAGUGUCGUCAAUCACUCUUGUGUAUGUUGUAAUUAUAGGGAGACCACUUACCGUUAUGGGAAAAUGUUAUCUUUAGUCUUUGGUGAACAUGCUAACUAGCCUGAACAUUGACAGCAGGCUCCAGUGUGAGGAAGGAACUGUAGCCUAGCAGAGAGUACUGACCCUUUUCCACCUGCUCUACUGCAGCAGCCCGGUUCAGCUCAGCUCUACUUCGGAGAGAACGUGUUUCCACCGGCGGCUCGGCUCUGCAGCAGGGCGAUGCCUCCUGACAGUUGGGGUAGCGCCCCGCCUCCAGGCGCCAUGUGCUGCGCUUCGUUACUAUGUGACCUAACAGGAGUUGUUGUUUUUCUGAGACAAAAGAAGAAGAGAGAACUGAGCUAUUGUUUUUAUAGCCUGAUUGGGAUUUUUCUGAGAUUUCAAGAAAAUGCGCGGUGGGAGGAAUGCUGCGAUUGUGUCAAGGAGGACGGCUGAUCUUCACCUUGCAGGGGGAGGAAAGCAGGUGACUCAGACGGUGCAGAUGUUGGUAAACUGUCGCUGCAGACCAUCAUGGUUCUUCGUGCUCCUCUGAGUUGUAGGACGUCUCAUCAGUGUCCGUCUUCCUGACUGGGUCGGUGUUUACCUUCAGGAUGUCUGGAGCAGGGAUCACAUGAGCUCAAUAUGCUGAUGAAACAUUUCUGAUUUAAAAAAUGUGUCUGAUGUUCUUAUAGAGUAGAAGUGCAUUAACAAUCUGUAGUUUUGAACUUCAAUAGUUUAAUUAUGAUUCACCUGAUGUCCAAGUUAUAUUGAGAACAAAUAAAGCUGUAUUCCAUCUAAUCUGACUGGUUCUAGUUCCAUGUUUUCACAUUUUGGUCACUAAGAAUUAUUCGGGGGGCUUAAAAGUUUAAACUUAGGGUCUUAUUUAUCACUAAUUGAGGUUACAGGUUUUGGACACAUUUUCUCUAUUUCUUACAUUGAAGAUUCUCCAGAAGACAGAAACACAGUGAGUGGAUAGAAUGAUGAUGUACACAGUAGAAAUGAAUAA